UACGGAGGGGGCUAGCGUUGUUCGGAAUUACUGGGCGUAAAGCGCACGUAGGCGGCUUUGUAAGUCAGGGGUGAAAUCCCGGGGCUCAACCCCGGAACUGCCCUUGAGACUGCAAGGCUCGAAUCCAGGAGAGGUGAGUGGAAUUCCGAGUGUAGAGGUGAAAUUCGUAGAUAUUAGGAAGAACACCAGUGGCGAAGGCGGCUCACUGGUCCGGUACUGACGCUGAGGUGCGAAAGCGUGGGGAGCAAACAGG
rnacentral:rRNA from 1 species